GACGAACGCUGGCGGCGUGCUUAACACAUGCAAGUCGAACGGAAAGGCCCUGCUUUUGUGGGGUGCUCGAGUGGCGAACGGGUGAGUAACACGUGAGUAACCUGCCCUUGACUUUGGGAUAACUUCAGGAAACUGGGGCUAAUACCGGAUAGGAGCUCCUGCUGCAUGGUGGGGGUUGGAAAGUUUCGGCGGUUGGGGAUGGACUCGCGGCUUAUCAGCUUGUUGGUGGGGUAGUGGCUUACCAAGGCUUUGACGGGUAGCCGGCCUGAGAGGGUGACCGGCCACAUGGGGACUGGGAUACGGCCCAGACCCCUACGGGGGGAAGAAGGGGGGAAAAUGGCAAAAGGGGGGGAAGCCUGAGGCAGCAACGCCGCGUGCGGGAGGACGGCCUUCGGGUGGUAAACCGCUUUCGCCUGUGACGAAGCGUGGGUGACGGUAUGGGUAAAGAAGCACCGGCUAACUACGUG
rnacentral:rRNA from 1 species